rnacentral:rRNA from 1 species
UACGUAGGACGCAAGCGUUAUCCGGAUUUAUUGGGUUUAAAGGGUGCGUAGGCGGACUUAUAAGUCAGUGGUGAAAUACUGUCGCUUAACGAUAGAAUUGCCAUUGAUACUGUAGGUCUUGAGUACAGUUGAGGUAGGCGGAAUGUGUAGUGUAGCGGUGAAAUGCUUAGAUAUUACACAGAACACCGAUUGCGAAGGCAGCUUACUAAGCUGAAACUGACGCUGAGGCACGAAAGCGUGGGGAUCAAACAGG